UCUCUGGAGGACUAGUGGUUACGCCUCGGUGCUCUCACUGCCGCGCUUGGGUUCGAUUCCCGGCCAGGGAA